rnacentral:rRNA from 1 species
UACGAGGGGGCGAGCGUUGUUCGGAAUUAUUGGGCGUAAAGGGUGCGUAGGCGGCGCGGUAAGUCGGGUGUGAAAUCUCGGGGCUUAACUCCGAAACUGCAUUCGAUACUGCCGUGCUUGAGGACUGGAGAGGAGACUGGAAUUUACGGUGUAGCGGUGAAAUGCGUAGAUAUCGUAAGGAAGACCAGUGGCGAAGGCGGGUCUCUGGACAGUUCCUGACGCUGAGGCACGAAGGCCAGGGGAGCAAACGGG